rnacentral:lncRNA from 1 species
UUUCAGUGGUCCUUUUUUAGGUAGUUAUAUUUCUUGUGAAAUAACAUUUAUCUGAACAUUAGUAACUCCUUCACUGUCAUUUUGCUCUCAUUUUCCUGUCUUUAUAGCAAGUAAAAUUAAAUGGAGUAAUUUGAAAUAAAUUAUAUAAUAAAUGGCAUUAAAAUAACCCCAUUUUAAAAUAUUGAGGUAUAAUUUACAUACAUUAAAAUGCAUCAUAGGUGUUCCAUUUGACAAAAUAGAUCACAUUUUCUUUACUCCUGAAAAUUUCCUUGUGCUCCUUUCCAGUCAGUUCUCCUCUUCCCAGUAGCCACUUUGUGGUAUAAUCCCAGGUUCCCAGGUUAAUGAAAUUAUUUCUAACUGUGUUUUUAAUACAUUCACAUUUUUCUUGCUAAAUUAUAUGCCAAAAAAUGUCCAAUAAAUGUUAAGCUUUUUAGGAUGAUGGCAGUUUGGGUAAUUCAUUGCUUUCUUAUUUAUACUUUUCUGUAUUGUGUUUUGUUUUUUUUUUUUUUGAGACAAGGUCUUGCUCUGUCACGCAGGUUGGAGUGCAGUGGCAUAAUCAUAGCUCACUGCAGCCUCGACCUCCCAGGCUCAAGAAAUCUUACCACCUCAGCCUCCCAAGUAGCUGAGAUUACCGGCACUUGCUACCACAUCUGGCUAAUUUUGUGUUUUUUUUUGUAGAGACAGGGUUUUGCCAUGUUUCCCAGGCUGGUCUCAGGGACUCCUGGGCUGAAGCAAUCUGCCAGCUUUAGCCUGCCAAAGUGCUGGGAUUACAGGUGUGAGCCAUCAUGCCUGGCCUUUUUUGUAUUAUUUGAUUUUUUAUUUUAGGUAGUAAGUCUUAGGUUAAAAAAAUCAAAACCUGAUUAUUAAUUAAAUAAGAAAAGAAUAUUUUUUAAAAAGGCAAAUGCUUCAAAGCAAAACUGUCUUCCAUCCUAGGAAAGGUAUGAACCAGAAAAGAGCAGGUUCAAAGAGAAAAAGGGUAUGAAGUGUUUCUUAGAUUAGUGUUUGUCAUAAUUUUGAGAGCUGAUGAUACUAAUCCCUGAAAUAGAGUAAGGAAAAUUGAAAAAAAUAAAAGAAAAAAAGAGCUUUGUAGUUAUAUGGAGUUGGUACCUUUCUGUUUGUUAUUAUAUAUGAAAUAUUGUAAAUUUCUGGCACCACCAAUCAUAACAUUUAAGUGUAUUCCAGAGCUGAAUAUAAAUUAUUCUAUUUUUCAAGUUAAUAUAUAGUGUUGUCAGUAUAUGUUGAAUGAAAUUGCCCCUUAAGUUUUCAUUUACAUCUUAUAUUUAUCUGGUUUUACUAAUUAAUUUAUUCUGCAUUUUUACUGAGUGUAGCCUCAGUAAAAACCCUAAUGUGGGUAGGCACUGAAAUUGUUAUUUGAAUAACACAUCCCUGUUUGCAGUGUGAUAUGAAGAAGGGGAACAGAGGUUCAAAAAAACAGAGAAAGCAAAUAGAAAAUAAGUAAAUGGGAGUCUUAAGCAACUAUAUUGUUAAUGGGCUAAACACUUCAAUUAAAAGUCAGAGAUUAUCAGAAUGGAUUAAAAAGCAAGACCCAUUUAUAUGCUAUCAACAUGAAAUUUACUUAAAAUAUAAAAGUACAGGCUGGGCACGGUAGCUCACGCCUGAAAUCCUAGCACUUUGGGAGGCUGAGGUGGGUGGAUCACCUGAGGUCAGGAGUUAGAGACCAGCCUGGCCAACAUGGCAAAACCCCAUCUCUACUAAAAAUACAAAAAAUCGCCAGGCAUGGUGGCGGGUGCCUGUAAUCCUAGCUACUUGGGAGGCUGAAGCAGGAGAAUUGCUUGAACCCGAGGGGCAGAGGCUGCAGUGAGCCAAGAUUGCGAUUGCGCCACUUUACUCCAGCCUUGGCAAAAGAGUGAAAAUCCGUCUCAAAAAAAAAAAAAAAAAAAAAAAAGAAACCCUUGAAGGUACAGAUAAGCUGGGGGUGGGGUAGUGCUAUUAAUACAUACAAAAUAGACCAUAAGACAGAGUAUUAUCAGAAAUAAAGAGGGAUUUUUCAUAAUGUUAAAAGUAUCAAUUCAUCAGAAAGCGGUAGCAAUCAUAAAUUUAUAUAUGAUUAUAAACAUAUUUUUAUUAAAAAUAUAUAAAGUGGCUGGGCGCGGUGUCUCACGCCUGAAAUCCCAGCACUUUGGGAGGCUGAGGCGGGGGUGGAUCACCUGAGGUCAGGAGUUCAAGACCAGCCUGGCCAACAUGGCGAAACCCGGUCUCUACUAAAAAUACAAAAGUUAGCUGAGUGUGGUGGUGGGCGCCUAUAAUCCUAGCUACUUGGGAGGCCAAGGCAGGAGAAUUGCCUGAACCUGGGGGACGGAGGUUGCAGUGAGCUGAGAUUGCCCCACUUCACUUCAGCCUGGGCAAAAUGGUGAAACUCUAUCUCAAAAAAAAAAAAAAAAGUAUAUAUAGCAAAAAUCGACAAAAUUAAGAGGUAAAAGAUACUUUUACAAUUAGUGCUGAAGAUUUUUACCACCCUACUCUGACCAAUUGAUAGAAUUUCUAGCAAAAAAACAAAAUUAGUAAAGACAUAGAUGAUCUGAGGAAUACUACAAACCACCUCAAUAUAAUUGAUAAGUAUUGAACACUACUUCCCCGAAUUGUGAAGAAGAUAUUCUUAUCAAUUGUACAUCAUAUAUUCAACAUAGACCAAAUGGUGGACCAUGAAAUAUGCCUUGAUAAAUUUUUUGUGUGUGUCUUGAUAAAUUUAUUUAUUUCUUGAGACAGUCUCACUUGCUCUGUCACCCAGGCUGGAGUGCAAUGGCGCGAUCUUGGCUUACUGCAACCUCCGCUUCCUGGGUUCAAGCUAUUCUGCAUGCCUCAGCCUCCCGAGUAGCUGGUAUUACAGGUGCAUGCUACCACGCCUGGCUAAUUUUUGUAUUUUUAGUAGAGACAGGGUUUCACCAUGUUGGCCAGGCUGGUCUCAAACUCCAGACCUCAGGUGAUCCUCCCACUUCAGCCUCCCAAAGUGCUGGGAUUACAGAUGUGAGCCACCAUGCCCAGCUGGUAAAUUUAAAAUGAUUGAAAUUUAUAUAUGUUCUGUCACCACAAUGGAAGUAAAAUUAAAAUAGAAAUUAUUAAAAUAUCUAGGAAUGAUCCAAAUAUUUGGAAAUUAGACAACACAAGUUUAAAUGAUCAUGAGUCAAAGGGAAAUCACAAUUAGAAGACAUUUUUAAUCGAAUGGUAAUGAUAAUAUAAUGUCAAAAUUCAUGGAAUGUAGCUAAAGCAGUGCUUGGAGGGCAAAUUAUAGUUUAAAUGCUUUUAUUAUAAAGGAAGAAAAGUCUAAAUGUCAGUAACCAAAGUUUCUACCUUAGGAAGCUAGAACAAGAACAGCAAAGUAAACCUGGAGUAAGUACAAGUAAGGAAACAAUAGAGUAGGAAUCAAUGAUGUGGAAAACAGAUAAUAGAGAAACUUUAAAAAGCCAAAAUCUGGUUCUUUGGUAAGAUCAACAACAGUAAUAAACCCUUAUCUUCAGUGAACAAGAAAUUGACAAUGCGACAUGUUGUAAUAGUAAAGGAAUAAAGUACAUAGUGUGGAACACAGAGGCUGAUCUGAAUUUGGUUUUCAAAGGUGGUUUCAGAGAGGUGGUAAAAUUUGUGUUUGGCUUUCAAGAAUUAGUGUAAGUUUUUCCUGAUACAGAUUGGGAAAAAGAAUAUUCUGAGAGGAAAUAAGAGCAAAAUAAUUUUAUUUUUCAGGCUUUUGGCAUAUUUAGAACCGUAUUUUUAUUUUUUUGAGACAGAGUCUUGCUGGAGUCCAUCGGUGCAAUCUCGGCUCACUGUAACCUCUGCCUACUGGUUCAAGCAGUUCUGGUGCCUGAGCCUCCCAAGUAGCUGGGAUUACAGGCAUGUGCCACCACUAGCCCCAGCUAAUUUUUAAAUUUUUAGUAGAGAUGGAUUUCUUCAUGUUGGCCAGGCUGGUCUCGAACUCCAAGUCUCAAGUGAUCCACACGCCUUGGCCCCCCAAAGUGCUAGGAUUACUGGCGCGACCCCACAGCACCUGGCCUAGAAUGGUAUAUUGACUUUAUCUGUGGCAUAUGGGUUAUGUUAGGUGGAGAGCAGUAGGUGAUGCAAUAGGAAAAGCAGUUUGAGUCUAGAGUGUACAGAACCUAGAGUACCUUCCUUGAUAACUUGGACUUUAUUCUGUGUAAAAUAGCAAGCUUAGCGUCUAAAGUUUUUAAAGGAGUUUUUUAAAUGAAAUAUUUCAAACAGAAAAUACAUAGAAUGACAUACUGAACACUUAUUACCGCUACCCUGCUUUAACAAAUCUUAUACCUUACUAUAUUUGUUUCAGAUUUUAAGAAAUUAAUACAUCAUAGAUACAAUUGAAGCUUUGUACCUUUCCAUCUCAUACCACCAUGAAGUUCUAUUCUGAAGUCAUAUAUCCUUACCAUGCAUUUUUAAAAUACUUUUACUGUAUAGCUAUAUACUAAUAAAAAGGUGGCAUUCUCCAUGUUAUUAAAGUUUCUUAAAAAUGCUAUCUAUAUUUUACUUAUUCUGCAACUUGUUUUUCUCACUUAUUAUUAUUUUUGACUUAUGGGAUAUUCCGGAAGUUUGGACUGGUGUAACCACAGUAGUUAUUUACGGCCAGUGUCCUUUCUUCUUUCUUUUUUGAGUUAACCAGGAUACAUUUAUUAAAUAUAUCCAGGAUAAAUAUUCCCAAAAACAAAUAUUUGGUAAAUAUGGCAAACUUAUUCUUUGGCAAAUUAGCUUUUAGCAUGUUGGACUGCUUUCCAUCCCUAUUAGGAGUAUUAUAAGGAUUAAAUGAAGUAUUACCAACAAAAAGGUACUUAGCAAAAUUCUCAGUAAACAUUGGUUAUAAUCCCUCCAACAUUCAGACUUAAGUUCUGCCUAUUCUCUUUCCUCAGUAUUCUUUAUUCCUGUCCAUAUAACCAUUGUCCUUUUGUAGGCCUUCACUACCUUAAUGUGGACUAUAGCAAUAGUCACUUGAUUGGUCUCUUGGCUUGUUCCCCUCCAAUCUUGUUCUCUACACUACUGCAAGGGUGAUCUGUCUACCACAUAGAUUUUGAAUUAUCAUCUACAGUAGUAAAACAGUUUUCAUGGCAUACAAGCUUCAAUAAUUUAGUCUAGAUAUUCCGCUUGAUCUCUUUUCACCUCUUUUCCAUUUAUCUUCUAGCACCACUGCAGUGCUUGUAGUUCCUUAAAUAUGCUAUUCUUUUUGAAAAAGCAGCAAAUCUCUGUGCAGUUGCCUUUCUAACUGGAAUAUCUUCCCCCUUCUUGUGUUCUCACAAAAUUCUUAUUCAUCUUUCAAGUUCUAGCUCAAAUGCCACUUCCUUGUAAAGGUUUUCCUGAUUUCCUUAAGCAGAUUUGGGUUACGUUUCUAGGGUUCUGCUGCUCUUUGUACAUGCUUCUAUUAUAAUGCUUAUAUAUAUUAUUGUAGUUGUUUUUUAAUUUUGUCUGUCAUUCUAAUAGACUGUAAUCUCCUUGCAGGAGGAGAUCUGUCUUUUCAUCAUUUAUAUAAUAAUGACUAUUGUACCUAGAAUAUAAGUCAUUGACAUUUGUUGAAUUAAAAAAAUUCAGAAAUCUAUUUACAGCCCUCUCUACUGCCUUCCCAUGACACCUCCAUUUUACAGAUCAUUAAGCUGAAGCCCAAUGAAAUGAAGCUAUUUAGUGAGAACUCAUGCCUCCUAACUCCAGAUCUAUUACUUUUAUUCUUAUAUUGUAGAGAAUAUUCUGUUUAGCAUGUAUAUACUAGUUAUUUAUAUUAUAAGAAACAGUCUUGUCAGUAUUCUUCCUUUCAUCUCUAGGGAAUAGGUAGAAGGGUAUAGUGAUUUUAUGAGAUUUGUGUUUUUUUUUCCUGUUUCAAUCAUUCAGAUGCUUUUGUUUUCUAGCAAAUUCAGCAAAAUUCAAGGUUUUCUUCAUGUCAUUCCUUUUCUUUACCCUCACAGAACUCAGGUAGGAUUGAAUGUCUGAUGCAUUUAGUCCAGUUGUCCUCAACCAGGGGUGGUUUUGGCCCCCUAGAGGGCUUUUGGCAAGAUGUUUAGAGGCAGUUUUUUAAAUUGAUACAUAAUAUUUACCCAUAUUUAUGGGGCACAUGUGAUAUUUUGAUACAUACAUACCAUGUGUAAUUGGUUUAUCUGUCACCUCAAACAUUUAUCAUUUCUUUGUAUUGGUAACAUUCUACAUCUUUUAGCUAUUUUGAAAUAUACUUUCUGUGGGUGCUUCCUAAGCACCCUUACUUAUAACCUUAUAACCACAGUACAUUUGUCAACCUCAUAAAUUUACACUGAUAUCAUACUUUUGUCUAAACUACCUUCCAUGUUUUAUAAAAAUGUUUUCUUAAUAGCAUUUUUAACCUCUUCAAUACUGGAUCCAGUCUAGAAGCAGGUAUUACAUUUGGUUGUCAUGUAUUUUUAGCCUUCUGUCAUCUAUGGUGUUUCCACAGCCUUGUAAAACUGUAGUACACUAUCCCAACCAGACUAUUCACACUGUUACAGUCUAGAUACAGAAUGGUUUCAUGAUAAGGUAGUGAGACAUUUUAAGAUAUAUUCCCUGUGGAUUUGGCAUUCAUUGAUUACCCUUUUCCUUGCUCAUUCUUUACCUUGGUUACUUUGCAACUGUAGUACUCCUGCUAGAUUUACUAGUCAGGCCUUAGCAAAAUACUGUAAGCACAAGACCUCCCUUCUCCCUUAUUUGUUUAGUACCAUGAGGGACUCAUAUUCCUACCCUUUUUUUUUUGAGAUGGAGUUCGCUCUUGUUGCCCAGGCUGGAAUGCAAUGGCAUGACCUUGGCUCACUGCAACCUCUGCCUCCCCAGUUCAAGUGGUUCUCCUGCCUCAGCCUCCCGAGUAGCUGAGAUUACAGGUAUGCGCUACCACGCCCGGCUAAUUUUGUAUUUUUAGUAGAGACGGGGUUUCUCCAUGUUGGUCAGACUGGUCUUGUAGGAGAAAUAGACUUCACUAAAAUAUUACAGCCAAUUAGUAAAAAUAAGACAGUAAAUAGUAACACCUUGUCCUGGAGUGAUAGUAGCCAGUAUUGCUACCAUAUAUUACUGACAAUGUUUAAUUUUCAACAACAAAAAUAAUUGAGAGAUAAAGAGAAGUAAGAAAACGUGACCUUAUGGGGAAGAAGACUGGCAAAACAUCUCAACUUUGAAGGCAUAAGAUGUGUUACUAAGCAGACAAAUAUUUCAAAUUGGCCAUUAUAAAUAUCUUAAAAGAACUAGAGGACACCAUACCUCAGGAGGCAAUGAUAUAAUUACAAUAAUUUUGCAACUAGAGAAUAUAAAUAAAUAGGUAAGAAUUAUAGAAAAGAACCAUAUGGAAAUCUGGAGUUGUAAAGUAUAAUAACAGAAAUUACAAUUCAUUAGAGAGGUUUAAUACUAGAUUUUAACUGGUAGAAUAAACAAUCAUUGAAUUUGAAGAUAGAUUGAUAGAAAUCACCCAGUUUAAAAAAUACAGAAUAAAGAAGUAAGUAAAAUGCAGUUUCAGAGAAAUGGCAGAAGCCAUUGAGAAUACCAACAUAUGUGCAGUGGUAGUGCCAGAACAUAAGGACAACGAGCUGAGAGAAAAAAUAUUUAAAGAAAUAAUACCUGAAAAUUUUCUAUAUUAUGAAAAAAAAAUCCAAGAAGUGUAAAGAAUUUGAAGUAUAAUAAUUGCAAAUAUAUUCCCCCUUAGACACAUCAAAGUAAAAUUAUGAAAGUAAAAAAACAUCUUGGAAGCAUGAAGAGAAUAAUGGCUGAUAUACAAGGAAACUCUAAUAAUACAGUAAUAAUUAAGGCCACAGUGGAGGUGUAUGACAUAUUAAUAGUGUAGAAGAAGUAAAUUCAAAAUUUUACCUGAAGCACGACUGACAUUCUUAAAUCAAAGUAAAGACAUUGCUAGAUAAACAAAAACUGGGAAUGUGUUCUUAGCAGACCCACCUUGUAAGAAAAGCUAGUUUUUGAGAAUGAAGAAUACUGACCCCAAACUGUAAUUGAAAUUCCUAUGAAAAAUCAGAGUACCAGUCAUAAUUAUGUAAUAAUUAUAGAGGCUAGUAUAAAUGCAUAUUUUUUAUGUAUUAGCUGGCAUAUAUGCCUAUACACUGUAUACUUAUAAAUAUUCAUAUAUGUGUAUUGUGUGCAGUAUUUCCAUAUUUGUAUUUGUGAGCUUACAACAUAUAGAAAUGAGAUCUAUUUAAUAAUAUCACAAAGUAUGUGGUUGAGAACAAAACUGUUGUAAUAAGGAAAUGAAUCUUUUUUUUUUGGAGACAGAGUUUCGCUCUUAUUGCCCAGGCUGGAGUGCAAUGGCACGAUCUUGGCUCACCACAACCUCCACCUCUCAGGUUCAAGCGAUUCUCCUGCCUCAGCCUCCCAAGUAGCUGGGAUUACAGGCAUGAGCCACCACACCCGGCUAAUUUUU